GCCAAAAAGCUCAAUGUUUUCAACUAUCGACGGCGGACUGAAAAUCCGCGUGUCGGUGGUUCGAAUCCGCCUCUGGGCACCA
rnacentral:tRNA from 1 species